UACAGAGGGUGCAAACGUUGCUCGGAAUUAUUGGGCGUAAAGCGCACGUAGGCGGCUUGUUAAGUCGGAUGUGAAAGCCCUGGGCUCAACCCAGGAAGUGCAUUCGAUACUGGCAAGCUUGAGUAUGGAAGAGGGUCGCGGAAUUCCCGGUGUAGAGGUGAAAUUCGUAGAUAUCGGGAGGAACACCAGUGGCGAAGGCGGCGACCUGGGCCAAUACUGACGCUGAGGUGCGAAAGCGUGGGGAGCAAACAGG
rnacentral:rRNA from 1 species